GACGAACGCUGGCGGCGUGCUUAACACAUGCAAGUCGAACGGAAAGGCCCUGCUUUUGUGGGGUGCUCGAGUGGCGAACGGGUGAGUAACACGUGAGUAACCUGCCCUUGACUUUGGGAUAACUUCAGGAAACUGGGGCUAAUACCGGAUAGGAGCUCCUGCUGCAUGGUGGGGGUUGGAAAGUUUCGGCGGUUGGGGAUGGACUCGCGGCUUAUCAGCUUGUUGGUGGGGUAGUGGCUUACCAAGGCUUUGACGGGUAGCCGGCCUGAGAGGGUGACCGGCCACAUUGGGACUGGGAUGCGGCCCAGACUCCUACGGGAGGCAGCGGUGGGGAAUAUUGCACAAUGGGCGGAAGCCUGAUGCAGCAACGCCGCGUGCGGGAUGACGGCCUUCGGGUUGUAAACCGCUUUCGCCUGUGACGAAGCGUGAGUGACGGUAAUGGGUAAAGAAGCACCGGCUAACUACGU
rnacentral:rRNA from 1 species